rnacentral:rRNA from 1 species
ACGAACGCUGGCGGCGUGCUUAACACAUGCAAGUCGAACGGAAAGGCCCUGCUUUUGUGGGGUGCUCGAGUGGCGAACGGGUGAGUAACACGUGAGUAACCUGCCCUUGACUUUGGGAUAACUUCAGGAAACUGGGGCUAAUACCGGAUAGGAGCUCCUGCUGCAUGGUGGGGGUUGGAAAGUUUCGGCGGUUGGGCAUGGACUCGCGGCUUAUCAGCUUGUUGGUGGGGUAGUGGCUUACCAAGGCUUUGACGGGUAGCCGGCCUGAGAGGGUGACCGGCCACAUUGGGACUGAGAUACGGCCCAGACUCCUACGGGAGGCAGCAGUGGGGAAUAUUGCACAAUGGGCGGAAGCCUGAUGCAGCAACGCCGCGUGCGGGAUGACGGCCUUCGGGUUGUAAACCGCUUUCACCUGUGACGAAGCGUGAGUGACGGUAAUGGGUAAAGAAGCACCGGCUAACUACGUG